GACGAACGCUGGCGGCGUGCUUAACACAUGCAAGUCGAACGGAAAGGCCCUGCUUUUGUGGGGUGCUCGAGUGGCGAACGGGUGAGUAACACGUGAGUAACCUGCCCUUGACUUUGGGAUAACUUCAGGAAACUGGGGCUAAUACCGGAUAGGAGCUCCUGCUGCAUGGUGGGGGUUGGAAAGUUUCGGCGGUUGGGGAUGGACUCGCGGCUUAUCAGCUUGUUGGUGGGGUAGUGGCUUACCAAGGCUUUGACGGGUAGCCGGCCUGAGAGGGUGACCGGCCACAUUGGGACGGAGGUACGGCCCAGACUCCUACGGGAGGCAGCAGUGGGGAAUAUUGCACAAUGGGCGGAAGCCUGAUGAAGCAACGCCGCGUGCGGGAUGACGGCCUUCGGGUUGUAAACCGCUUUCGCCUGUGACGAAGCGUGAGUGACGGUAAUGGGAAAAGAAGCACCGGCUAACUACGUG
rnacentral:rRNA from 1 species